CCUACGGGCCGCAGCAGUGGGGAAUAUUGGACAAUGGGCGAAAGCCUGAUCCAGCCAUGCCGCGUGUGUGAAGAAGGCCUUCGGGUUGUAAAGCACUUUCAGUGGGGAAGAAAGCCUUGGGGCUAAUACCCUCGAGGAAGGACAUCACCCACAGAAGAAGCACCGGCUAACUCCGUGCCAGCAGCCGCGGUAAUACGGAGGGUGCGAGCGUUAAUCGGAAUUACUGGGCGUAAAGCGCGCGUAGGCGGUCUGAUAAGCCGGUUGUGAAAGCCCCGGGCUCAACCUGGGAACGGCAUCCGGAACUGUCAGGCUAGAGUGCAGGAGAGGAAGGUAGAAUUCCCGGUGUAGCGGUGAAAUGCGUAGAGAUCGGGAGGAAUACCAGUGGCGAAGGCGGCCUUCUGGACUGACACUGACGCUGAGGUGCGAAAGCGUGGGUAGCAAACAGGAUUAGAUCCCCGAGUAGUC
rnacentral:rRNA from 1 species